AAACAGUGGUGUUAGAGCCAAAUCCCAAAGGAUACCAACAAUAAGGGAAAAAUAAACUGAAAAGGUGAACGCAGCUGUCUGAUCAUCACAACGGGCUGGCUCUGCCUUGCAGCUGGAGAUGCAUGGGAAAUUGAAAUUUACAACAACAUGGGCACUGCCCCUCCUCUGAAACAGUUCCUGGAAUAUCCCAAACUGAAGGUCUCACAGGGCCACUGAGGGGCUGCUGAGGAAUACUAGAUGAGCCAUUGAACUUCUCACCAUCCUGCUCCAGCUGAACAAAGGGAACUUCCUGGUGGUUUGUAUUGGCUGCAAGAUAUUUUCCUUUGGGAGAGUCUGAAGCGGCUGGAACUUGUUUAUCCUGGAGUUGAAACGCCCGAGGAUCAUCCCAGGUGAAAAGGCCUUGGCCUUGGCAAUCACCUGUCCAGAGACCUGAAUAAAUGAAUAAAUAUGUACUUUAAAGAGAAAGCAAUGUCUUGAAGAAAAACUGUAAACUAAAUCAGUAUUUGGAAAUAGUUAGGAUCAUAUAU